GCUGUGGGCCCUGAAAGUUGUCGAGUGCGCCUGUCCCUGUGGUGGGAGCAGUGGCGCCGAGCGUGCCCACGGGCCGCCGCUUGGGUUUCUCUCGUGUUCAGGGUAGUAUGGACGUGGACAAUGGCAGUGGCCCCUGGCUGGCCCAAGAGCCGGGUCCAGAUACGCGCGCCUGAUUCCAGGCGUCAUAACCAACCCGGGGCCGCGAGGCUGGGAUCAGGCACCCCGGAGCCGCUUGCCCGUGGCCGGGCUGCUCUCCCCCUCUAAGCCUAAGCACCGCCAGUCGCGGCGCUGCGCUUUCCGCCGACCUCCCAGAGCGUCCCGCCGUCGCCGGCGGCCAGCCUCGCGCAGGACCAGUGUGGCGCCGCCCUGCUGUUGCUGGGGGGCGCCCGAGGCCUCCAUUCCUUGCCCAGGCUUCCGGCUCUCGGGGCGGCCUCCCUUCCGCCCACGCUCCAGGGCUUCCCCGGCUCCCGAGCUCCGAGCUUCCACCACAUCGGCCGGCUCAGGACAGGGCUUCCACUGUAAAGUCGGCUGCCAGACGUGUUGGAGCUCACCGGAUUUGUCCCUGGUGCCUUAUUUAGUUCACUUGGUGAGGUCAUGUUUUUUUCCUGGAUGGUGUUGAUGGUAGUAGAUGUUCUUCAGUGUCUGGACAUUAAAAUCUUGGGCAUGCAGCACCAUAUGAGAGGUUUAAAAAAUAAAAUUAAAAAAGAGAAAAGAACCCAGAGUUGAUCUCUGCAGCAUGCCAUCACUGCUGGGGAUGAGGAAACGGUGAUUUCAGGACUGUUUUUUCUGUCUCUUCAGUGCCUCUUUCAGUGAUCUGAGGUUAAAACCAGAGGGACAAUCAGUGGAGCCUUCUUUCUGCCGUCUUGCUUUACUCUCACGCCCAAGAAUCAGAAUUCAGAACUUUUAAUAAGAAAAGCUUUCAGAACUCAGGAAGGACAAGGAAGACAUUCUGGUUCUCCAUGCUUAACAUUGGACUGUUUCUUCAACUGAGACUAUGGAGGAUUCAUCAACAGACCAGGAAGCAACAGCCUGGGCUCCAGAAUUGACCAGUAGUCCGUGCACAGACGAGGAGAGGUCCCAUGAAACUUCGGCGCAGUCUGGGAACCGAGCUCUUUUUGUAACAAGUUGUUUGUCAGGAGGCCCGGUCAUGAAAGCCCUUCCUGACUGGGCUCAAGGAAUACAAAAAGGACAACUUGUUUUUGCCAUUGUCUGUUGUUUUUCAAUAACUAGUUCUCCGAAACAGCACUGGAUGAAUGCCUCAAGGGGCUCACACAACUCGUUCCAGGACUUAGUGACCAUUGUUUCUGUCCCUGUUCAAUAGAGUUCAAAUUUAAUAUUUAAAUUUUGCUCCACAAUGUGCCAUAUUAUCUGUAUCCAACCUGUCAUUGGGCAUUUAGGUUGAUUCCAUGUCUUUACUAUUGUGAAUAAUGCUGCAAUAAACAUUUACGUGCUUGUGUCUUUA
rnacentral:lncRNA from 10 species